AUCUAGCUGACAAGUCCCAAAUAGGAUGAAACAUUCGUCCGGGAU
rnacentral:hammerhead_ribozyme from 1 species